AUGGGGGAUAGGAUUCCCGCGAUGCAGCAGAGCGGCACCGCUUGGAAACACGCGGCACCCCCCGCAAAGCCCCGACUGAGCGCCCCGAAGCCCACCUCGCUCCGGGUGUCUGAAGUUCUGCUCGCCUUCAAAAGUAGUGCUGAAUUCCCAGGAUGUAAGAAAUACAAUGCAACUCUCAGUGCUGCUGCUGUGUUGGGUGAGGAUGAUCCAAGGGAUGCUCCACGUGUCGGACACAUAGUGUUGGCCAUCCAGUAUCAUGCAGCAAAUGUGAGCUGAUGGUCACAGUUGGGGCUGAAAUCCUUUAUUAAACAAAACAAGAGUCAAGUGAACAAAGAAGGUUGGAGCCGUUCACAAGAUCUUUUGGUUUAUUGCUCAACCUGUCAUAGAAGUCACCUUCUGGGAGCGUAGCCUGGGCUGCCAUGGCUAGCAAAAGAAAGUCAACAACUCCCUGUAUGGUGCGAACCUCUGAAGUGAUGGAGCAGGAAGUCCCAGAGGGUGCAGAAACUGCUAAAGAGAAGGGGCCUGGCACACCACAGCAAGAUGCUAAAAAAACUUGGCCUUCAGAAAGCUCAGUGAAAGAGUNNNNNNNNNNUCGAGGCUAAGCCCUCUGCUGAAAAUCCGUCUAAGAAACCCCAGGGUGGUUAUGAGUGUAAAUACUGCCCUUACUCUACACAGAACUUAAAUGAAUUUACAGAGCAUGUUGACACUCAGCAUCCGAAUGUCAUUCUCAACCCCCUGUAUGUCUGUGCUGAAUGCAACUUCACAACCAAAAAAUAUGAUUCUUUAUCUGACCACAACACAAAGUACCACCCAGGAGAGAGUAACUUUAAACUGAAAUUAAUUAAACGCAAUAACCAGACUGUUUUAGAGCAGUCCAUUGAGACCACCACUAAUGAUGUCACUGUCACGAGCAGUGGGGUGGAAAGUGCAGAGUGUGAGGAUUCACUUCAUGGGGGAA
rnacentral:lncRNA from 1 species